AGUGAACGCUGGCGGUAGGCCUAACACAUGCAAGUCGAACGGCAGCACAGUAAGAGCUUGCUCUUACGGGUGGCGAGUGGCGGACGGGUGAGGAAUACAUCUGAAUCUACUUUUUCGUGGGGGAUAACGUAGGGAAACUUACGCUAAUACCGCAUACGACCUACGGGUGAAAGCAGGUGAUCUUCGGACCUUGCGCGAUUGAAUGAGCCGAUGUCGGAUUAGCUAGUUGGCGGGGUAAAGGCCCACCAAGGCGACGAUCCGUAGCUGGUCUGAGAGGAUGAUCAGCCAAACUGGAACUGAGACACGGUCCAGACUCCUACGGGAGGCAGAAGUGGGGAAUAUUGGACAAUGGGCGCAAGCCUGAUCCAGCCAUACCGGGUGGGUGAAGAAGGCCUUCGGGUUGUAAGCCCUUUUGUUGGGAAAGAAAAGCAGCAGGUUAAUACCCCGCUGUUCUGACGGUACCCAAAGAAUAAGCACCGGCUAACUUCGUG
rnacentral:rRNA from 1 species